rnacentral:rRNA from 1 species
GAUGAACGCUGGCGGCGCAUUUAAGACAUGCAAGUCGAACGAAAAGUUCUUACCGAACGGAUAUGAAGAUUUAUCAGAUUUGAAGUUCACCAAGAAUUUUUAGUGGCGGACGGGUGAGUAAUACGUAGAUAAUCUGCCUUUCAGAGAGAAAUAACAGAAGGAAACUUCUGCUAAUGUCUCAUAAGACCACACUAUGGCAUCUUAGAGUGAUCAAAGGAGUAAUCCGCUGAAAGAUGAGUCUACGGCUGAUUAGCCAGUUGGCGGGGUAAUGGCCCACCAAAGCUAUGAUCAGUAGCCGAGCUGAGAGGCUGGCCGGCCACAUUGGGACUGAGACACGGCCCAG